rnacentral:tmRNA from 1 species
GGGGCUGUUUUUGGAUUCGACUCUUUGCCCAAGUCUAAGCUGCAUGUCGGCGGUGCUUGUUCCGCCGUGAACCAACAAGCAAAUCAUCAAACGCUAACAACACGUUCGAUAUGGCUCCCUCGGUGGAACAGGCUGACGCGAUUCUCGCGGCUACCGGUUACACUGAGUCGGCGCUCGCCGAGGUUUAACCUCGCCGUUCUCGUAGCAGAUUCCGCUACCUACGAGGGCGUCACCAGCGGAUAGAGCACUGCACUCGAUAAACGGCAGAACUGAGUGGCCCGACCUCUAAAUCGGGAUGGUGGAGGGUGCUCUUCCCGAGCGCCCCUUUAAGCAUGUCGACGCGAAGAUAAACGGCAAGGAAUACGCGGGUUCGACUCCCGCCAGCUCCACCA